UGGGGAAUUUUGGACAAUGGGCGCAAGCCUGAUCCAGCCAUGCCGCGUGCGGGAAGAAGGCCUUCGGGUUGUAAACCGCUUUUGUCAGGGAAGAAAUCUUCUGAGUUAAUACCUCGGGAGGAUGACGGUACCUGAAGAAUAAGCACCGGCUAACUACGUGCCAGCAGCCGCGGUAAUACGUAGGGUGCAAGCGUUAAUCGGAAUUACUGGGCGUAAAGCGUGCGCAGGCGGUUUUGUAAGACAGAGGUGAAAUCCCCGGGCUCAACCUGGGAACUGCCUUUGUGACUGCAAGGCUUGAGUGCGGCAGAGGGGGGAUGGAAUUCCGCGUGUAGCAGUGAAAUGCGUAGAUAUGCGGAGGAACACCGAUGGCGAAGGCAAUCCCCUGGCCUGCACUGACGCUCAUGCACGAAAGCGUGGGGAGCAAACAGGAUUAGAUAGCCCUGGUAGUCCACGCCCUAAAACCGGAUGUCAACUGGUUGUUGGGAAGGUUCCUUCUCAGUAACGUAGCUAACGCGUGAAGUUGACCG
rnacentral:rRNA from 1 species